GAAUUGUUGUAGCGGGUACACACAAGAUCACUUUUAUGGUAUGGAUUUAAAAUCUUUGAAUUCAAAUAGAUGUAGAAUCUUUUAAUUAUUGUAGCGGUUACACCCAAAAUCACUUUUAUGGUAUAGGUUUAUAAUUUUUGAAUUGUUGUAGCGGGUACACACAAGAUCACUUUUAUGGUAUGGAUUUAGAAUCUUUGAAUUUAUGAUAUAGAUGUAGAAUCUUUUAAUUAUUGUAGCGGUUACACCCAAAAUCACUUUUAUGGUAUAGAUUUAGAAUUUUUGAAUUGUUGUAGCGAUUACACCCAAAAUCACUUUUAUGGUAUAGAUUUAGAAUCUUUGAAUUGUUGUAGCGGUUACACCCAAGAUCACGAUCACUUUUAUGGUAUAGAUUUAUUUAGAAUCUUUGAAUUGUUGUAGCAGUUACACCCAAGAUCACUCUCAUGAUAUAGAUUUAGAAUCUUCUCAUUGUUGUAGCCCUUACACCCAAGAUCACUUUUAUGGUAUAGAUUUAGAAUCUUUGAAUUGUUGUAGGGGUUACACCCAAGAUCACUUUUACGGUCUAGAUUUAGAAUUUUUGAAUUGUUGUAGUGGUAGUAAAUCUUUUAAAAAAAAUAUAUAAUUCAACCAUGGUUGUUAUAUGGAUUAAACCAUUGGUCUUUAGGAUGAUAAUGGAUGCUUUAUUCAUAGCUACGCUCGGGAUGGCUUAUUUUUUUGUUGGUAGUAAAAGGUAUAGGGAUUGAACUAUUGGUCUUUAAAAUAAUAAUGGAUGCUUUAUCCAUGUAGCUAUACUCGGAAUGGCUUAUUUUUCGGUGUCUUCUUUUUACGGUACAAGUUAGAGAGUGCUUAAAUGAUACUCCUCCGAGUAAUUUCUUCUUUUUGAGUGGCUGUUCAGUGUAAUUUUAAUAAGCAAGCAUGUAUGCAUGCAUAUAUGUAUUAGUUUAUGAUAUCUGCAGCAAAGAGGAAACGGGUGUGGCUGGGGCUUAGAGACAAGGGAAUCUCUGAUGAACGGUGGCGUGGUUAUGGGCACAGGCAUGGAGCUAGCCUGACACUCACUUCUAAGCAUUGGAGGAAGAACAUGCUCGAACUCCUCUCUCGCCCCCACGCUUGCAACCUCGCACGCGUGCGUGCCCGAGCAGCAGGACUUUGGCUUGGUUUUUGCAGCAUGAUGGGCUCCCUCUUGUCCCAUCGCUUAUCAAGUGAAAGAAUUGCUCUGGAAAAUGAUGCCAUAUAGGUACAAACUUUUCCCUAUAUUUUAAUUAAGAGAUUAGGUAAAUGUUGACACGUGGAUCAAGGUUAUUGAUUAGGUGUAUAUUAAUUUUCAGCAUAUAGUUAUAAUUAUUAAGUGAUUUUAUACGUAUUUAGAGAAAUAUUUGAAACAAUCUAUGAUUUUGAAGAGAAUGGAUCUCUUCAGAAUCUUCCGAGUUAUUGUGGUUGGCAUAUGCCUUGAACCUAUCAACUUCAUUGCCAUUGCCUUCGCCUAUUGUUUCUUCUACAACAUUUCCAUUCAACCCAAUGACCCAUCCUCUCCCUUUCUCCUUUUUUGGAACUUUUCGUUCCUUUCCACCAUUUUUAAGGCUAUUUCCUUUUCUUUUAUUUGUCAUUUUCGACCUUAUUAAUUAAAUAAAAAAACUAUUGAAUAUGUAAGAGUGGAAGUCUACUCUUAAGAUAUUGUUCUCUUCGGCUUAGUAUGUAUGGUCUUCCGCCUCAUGGUUUAAAAUAUGUCUACUAGGAAGAGUUCAAGUACAUUCGUAGGAUAUUGUUCUCUUUGGCCCAUUAUGUAUCAUUUUCUACUUCGUAGUUUAAAAUAUGUCUACUAGGGAGAGUCCAAGUCCACUUGUAAGAUAUUGUUCUCUUUGGCUCAUUAUAUAUUGUCUUCCUCCUCAUGGUUUAAAAUACCUCUACUAGGGAGAGGUUUUCACACGCUUAAUGUUUCUGUCUUUGAUACCAUUAAUAACAGCCCGAUCCCAUCACUAAUAGAUAUUGUUCACUUUGGCCUAUUAAAACACGUAUUUAGGGAGAGAUUUUGGCCUAUUAAAACACGUAUUUAGGGAGAGAUUUUUCACAUCCUUAGAAAUGUUUGGCCCAUUAGUAGGGAGAGAAAUGUUUCGUUCUCUUCUUUAAUCGACGUGGGAUCUCACAAAAUAUAUUAUAAAUGCCUCGACCAAAAGGUCUAAGGCUUGAACUUCUACCCCCACAGGCCCACAUGUUAACAUCUAAUAAAAACCUACCAAAAUUAGUAUCAAGGACAAUUUUUCUAAUGUAUAUAUA